UCCCCAUUAACUGGGGCAGUUCCCUGUGACAUGUAUAACACAGGGUAAGGGUUGCGCUCGUUAACCGACUGAACGGGACACUUCACAGCACGAGCUGACGACAACCGUGCAGCACCUGUCAUCUGGUUCCUUGCGGCACGGCCCUAUUUCUAGGGCUUUCCAGAGAUGUCAAGCCUGGGUAAGGUUCUCCGCUUAGUAUCGAAUUAAACCACACGCUCCACCGCUUGUGCAGGUCCCCGUCAAUUCCUUUGAGUUUUAAGCUUGCGCUCGUACUCCCCAGGCGGCCGACUUAACGCGUUAGCUUCGCUCCAAGAGAGGGUCGAUACUCUCCAAGAGCUAGUCGGCAUCGUUUACGGCGUGGACUAC
rnacentral:misc_RNA from 1 species